AUCCGAACCGGAGUCGUCGCCGCCGUGUGCUCUCCCAUCUUUUCCCAGUCUCCGCGACCUCGAGCGGUCAUAAACCCUCCUCUCCUCCCCCUCUCCCCUCCUCUUCCCCGUGCGACCCGCCCAACCCAAACCCUAGGUCACCCAGCGCCGCGGCGCCCCCGGUUGCUGACUUGCCGCGGGAAGGAGGAUGAGCAGGCGGUGGAGCCGGACGAUCUACGUGGGGAAUCUCCCUGGUGACAUCAGGGAGAGGGAGGUGGAGGAUCUCUUCUACAAGUAUGGCCGAAUUGUUGAUAUUGACUUGAAGAUCCCUCCGAGGCCACCAGGCUAUGCUUUUGUAGAGUUUGAAGAUCCUCGUGAUGCUGAAGAAGCAUGUGCUGGCAGGGAUGGUUAUAACUUUGAUGGACAUCGUCUAAGGGUUGAACCUGCUCACGGUGGGAGAGGUAAUGGUGGUUCCUCCUUUGACCGCCCCAGCAACUUUGGUGGUGGAGGACGCCGUGGUGUGUCCAGGCACUCAGAAUACCGUGUUCUGGUUACUGGUUUGCCUUCUUCUGCAUCAUGGCAAGAUUUAAAGGACCAUAUGCGCAAGGCUGGUGAUGUUUGUUUCUCAGAAGUGUAUCGCGAGGGCGGCGGUACUGUAGGGAUUGUGGACUACACAAACUAUGAUGACAUGAAAUAUGCUAUAAAGAAACUUGAUGACAGUGAAUUCAGGAAUGCCUUUUCUAAAGGUCACAUAAGGGUGAAGGAAUAUGAUGGCAAGCGCGCCCGCUCCUAUUCACGUAGCCGAAGCCCAAGUCGUAGCCGAAGCAAAAGCAGGAGUCUAAGUAAAUCUCCUAGAACUCGCCGUUCAGCAUCCCGAUCUCGAUCUCGAUCAAGGUCUGUUUCUUCCCGUUCACGGUCAGCAUCAAAAGGGCGCUCUCCAUCAAGACCCGAUUAUCUCUUCAUUUAUCUGGGAUUGUGCGGCGAUCUGGGGAUUGCGCAUUAGGAUAUUGAGGAUGGGAUUUCCUCAAUUUGCUCUUGGUUGUAUGAGAGAUUGGGCAUAGCGCAUUGUUUGGAAUUCUGGACAUAGGAGCAUUAAGGAUUGACGAUAUUUGGAUAAUGAUGGUACAAUGACUAGGAAUGUGCUUGGCGUUCAAUGCUUGAGGAAUGAGUUCUCUCCCUACCUUUGGCAUGCUAUAUAUGGUGGUUGCGUCUUGCAUGCAUUAUUUGCAUUCAAUACUACAUAUUUUUGGACUUAAUUAUGUGCUCUUAAUCUCUUGUUUUCAUUGGGCUAUUUUCACUUUCAUUUGGUCGGUGCAAUGCUGGACAAAGCAUCAAGGUUUUUGGAAUAAGCUGUUAGACCCGCAUUUUGGAUAUUGAAUAUGGUUGCUUCUCGACUUCUUUUUUGCAGAUCACCAGCAAGAUCCAAAUCUCCAAAUGCUUCUCCUGCAAAUGGUGAAGCAUCAAGCCCCAAGAAACGGAGCCCAAGCAGGAGCCCAUCUCGUUCACGGUCUCCUGAUGCGAAAUCUGAAUAGAAGUGAUAUGCUGAUGUGAGCAGUGACACGGACUUCUCAUGUACGGCUAUUUGCUGUCCUUGAUGUCCGAUUACAUCCGAAUCUUAGCUGUGGUGCAAUGAAGCUCCAUUAAAUUUGAUACUAUGAAUUUGUAGUAAUGAAAACAUCAAACUAUGCACUUCAUGUGGCCUUCUGUGGCUGGUCUUGUUCCCUUGGGUUUUUGGUAGUUCGCCGAAUGCUACUAUCUGGAUUAUUUUUACUCAAAACAUAUGUCGGAUGCUUAUUGAUUUCCAUGUCAGUUAUUUCUUGGCACCCCCAUGUUGUGUUGCUCAUCAAUUCAUGGAAAGCUUCUGCUGCUUGUUGAGCAGCACUAUGGUGCUUGUUA